CAGUCGCCACGGUAAAACGUAGGGUGCAAGCGUUAAUCGGAAUUACUGGGCGUAAAGCGUACGCAAGCGGUUUGUUAAGUCAGAUGUGAAAUCCCCGAGCUUAACUCGGGAACUGCAUUUGAAACUGGCAGGCUAGAGUCUCGUAGAGGGGGGUAGAAUUCCAGGUGUAGCGGUGAAAUGCGUAGAGAUCUGGAGGAAUACCGGUGGCGAAGGCGGCCCCCUGGACGAAGGCUGACGCUCAGGUACGAAAGCGUGGGGAGCAAACAGGAUUAGAUACCCCGGUAGUCCCUGUCUCUUAUAC
rnacentral:rRNA from 1 species